UUUCAAAUAAAGUAUAACGGC
rnacentral:piRNA from 1 species